CUGGGGGCCGAGCCGGGCCGUGAGGAGGGCCGUGAGAGGCGGGGGGGUCGGACUGGGACCGAGCUGACUGUGCUCAUCCACCCCGCCGGAUUUCGCCCUCGGCCUGCGUCAGUGCCCCUCUGCCGGAUUUAGGGGCCGGCCAUUGGUGUGGUGCCUCCAUCGCGAGGCUGGACUCUGGAGCAGGACCGUGUUAAAACUCCUACCGAUACCACACAGCCUUACCUAUGCUGGGCUUCAGGCACUGCCUUGAAAGAGCAUUAAGAAAUUCUGCAUAGGUGCUUCCUUGAGCAGCAAGAGCAGCGUCUCGGAGCAGCCAGUUGCCCAUCGUCAGGAGUGAGCUGCUCCAGCAGCCGCUGCACAGCCCUGGGCCAAAGAGGUGGGAGAAGCCAGGAUGGGUGACAUGAGGGCUGGAAGGAAGGGGAGGAUGCUAUGCAGCUGAGCCUCAGCACUGAUACCUGACGUGCUCCUCUGGAUGAGCAGGGGCUUCACGUUUUUCACAGAUGAGUUAGACUGCAAACUCCUGCCUGCAUGCUUAACCUACUUCUGCAGAACUGUUGGCAAGUAUGUGAUCUAAAGUGGAUGGGCAGGCAUGGACUUACAAGGGACACUGACAGGUGUCAGUACAAUAAGAUCUGCACCUGGGCAUGCUGGAUGGCAGGACACAUCAGUGCUUGUUGCUGGUGCUUUCUGAGUGGCCACAGGGAGCCUGUGGUAGCUGCGGUCCCACCAGACAGCAUGGGAGGGGGACAGGGCAAGGAGGUAGCAGUAGGAGUGGAGUUUGAAGAGAUGCAUGAGAGCAGCUUGGACUCCAGAAAGGUUUCUUGCAGAGUUGAGGACUUAAUUUGAGAAUAAUUUCCACAUUGACAGUGCUCAGAAGCUCUUAAAACGGAUGAGGAAUAUAUCAUGGCAAAAGUGAAUCCUUGGAGAGUAUUUCACAAGAGGUGCUGGUGUGCCAGACAUACUUCUUCACAAAUGUUUUUCAUAUUUUUUUCCACUAAAAGAAGCAGAAGAGCUCAAAAGGCAGCAGUAUUUUUUGCUAAGUGCCGGUAUUUUUUGCUAAGUGCCCAGCCACUGAUGGAAGUGCCACACUUCCCUGCAGCAGGUGAAUUAAUCUUUGUGCAGCCCUGUAUGUAAACACCAUGCAUUAAGCUUAUCAUGCUGGACUCUGUUCCUGAAUCCUGCACGGCCAGAUGAUGGCUUUCACCCUCAUCUCCAGCAGAGGUGCUGUUAAGAAGAGGAUGUUCUUCAGUGCCACGAUAACCAUCUGAUCAGCUCUGACCUGGGCGAGUUACAGGGAGGCUCACUGUUGAAGGCAAGAAAGACCUCACUGCAAAGCUGCAACCCAUUGCAGCUCUGCACUGUCGGUUAGACAGAAACCUUCUGGCCAAAGCCAAGCUGAAGGUGUGGGCCAGCUGGAGAUCAUCUAAAAAGGGAAAAAUCAGACUACUUGCAGAUGUAAAAUUCAUAAUCGGGGAGCAGAGACUGAAUCGCAGAGAAGAGGAAAGUCUAGAGAAAAGCAAGGUCUGGUAGUCCUCAGGUUUGCAAAAAAAAGCUGCUGCAGAGAGUUGGAAUAAGUUUCCUCAUCCACUGAGAUAAAGUAGCUUUGAAAGUUGUGCCAUUUGUGCAAGUUUUAGAUGAUUUAAUUGUGAGCUUGAUUUUUUUCGAAAAUACUUGUCUUCUCUUUUAGUGUUUUCCUGGAAUCAUCUCUUUAAACUAAUGAGACAUUAAAGCCAGACAUUAGGAAGCAUUUUCUAACGAUGACGCUGCCUGCAUCCUGUCACACAUCACUACAGAGGCUGGCGAGUCAGCAAACGUCUGCCGGGGCUGCUCUGGGUAUCGCUGACCCCGCCGUGGCGUGGGGAGACCUCGGCGAGCCCCAGCAGCUCCUUUCCCCAUCGCUCCGGCAAGUCCGAAGAUUUACUUCCAGCCUGAAGGUAAUCACUCAGUCGUGAUUCUGACCUACAGCUUAAUGUGCCCCCUCGCUAUAGUUACAGCCGUCCUCCUUCUGGUUAUGCUCCCUGCUGUGACUAAUGGGAUCUCUGCAGUUAAAGAGGUGAUUUUUAAAGAAAAAGAUCCAAGUUGCAGUGCUGCUACCAAGUUUACAGCUUUAGCAAAAGCAAUGGCACAGUACUAACGAUAGCAGUCCUGACUACGGCCUAUGAAUUUGACAUUCGUAGGUGUACAUUUAUACACCUCUCUCCAGACCUACAGACCCCUAAAUGCACAGGAAGCAAAUGAUCUUUUGUUACUGUUUAUGCCAUGGACGGUGAGUACCAGUUUAGGUAUUCGCUAUUCACAGUGAAAUGUGCUUAAAGUAGACAUACUCCAUUCUUGUAAAAUAUUCUUAAUCAG